CACCACCACGCUGGGCUGUGAGCAAGGCCGUGCGUGCCUUCAAAGGGAAGCCAAUGCCGCCGAGCCUCGCGUGACCCGGCGCGCUGGCCACCUUUGCGGGCGGAGGGAGCACGGUGGAAGCCCCCGGGACUGCCACAAAUCCAUGUUUGAGGAAGGAUGCGAGCAAUGCCUCUCUUUCAUGGCCUGAAGAAUAAAGCGGCCGUGAAAUCAGUGAUGCCACAUUAUUGCUUCCUGGUCAUGCGGGAUGGGCUUCCUUCCCGUGGCCAGCACCCCCAGAGCAGCGCCUCCCGCUCUGGAAACAGGCUGCAGACACGUGUAUCCUGGACAGCUGGGUUUGGGAGUAUUUCCUCUUCAUUGUUUGAAGGAACACUCAGGGGGAAAUAUGGAAAAAGCCAGAGGGUGCACGCAGGCCGCCUGACCCGGGAGGUGUGGCCAGGCCCAGGGGAACGUGGCCUGCCUGCCACAGGCGUGGGCACGGCCUCCAGCUCCCGAAUGCCUGGGGAAUGGCAUCCUACCACCUGAGCCUUUUUGUCCCGAUGGCCUGUAGAGCUGUUGUUCCUCACAGAACAAGUGCAGCGUCAUUUCAGGGGGGUCUGGGGGCUCCCCACUGCCUAUAGUGAUGUGGGGGCCUGGGGAACCACGCUGGGGGGCGUCCCCCACUGCCCUCACGACAGAGCUGCCAUGUGGGGCUUUCACUCAGCUCCCUCUGGGGCUGGAGAAAGGGUUCUGCCAACGGUGGUGGGCUCUCACCCACGGGGCACACUCCCGUGCCCUCCAGGUCCAGCACCACCGUGCACACGUCAGGAGCCCCGUCAGAGUGGUCCCCCGAGCCCCCCACACCGCAUGGAACCUGCACCCCAUUGGGUUGCUGCAUUAAUUAUUACUGCACAGAAGUUUCCAGCAGGCUUAAGUCCAAGCUAGAGAAGAACCAGGUGAAUCAAAGAAGUGCAAACUGCCUUAGCAAGUGAUGACUGCCCGUCGAAGGAUGGGUUCAAACAGAAGAGGGGCAACCGCAUCACAGGAAGCUACGUUCAUCACUACUGGGGCCGAAGGUACGGGAACAAGUGGUCGUCCGGGGCCUUUCGACUGGUGAUUCUAAGAAUCGUUAUAACAGACCAGAGCACCCAGGCCCUGUAGGCUGCAUUAGACCUGGCCUGGAAGGACCUGUGAGCCCAGCUUCUCCCUGAUCCCACUGCCCUCUAAGACACCACUGUUUCCUUUAAGUUUUGGGGUUGUAGAAUACGAUAUCCCCAGUACCUCUUCUCCCCUUCUUCCAACAGAAAUCCCAAAUGUUAGCAAAGGACCCCUAGGAAUAAAGACUACACUUCCCAGCCUCCCUGGGGCUAGGUGUGACCAUGUCAGUAAGUUCUGGACCAGGGGAUAUGACAGAAGUGAUAAGUACCAUUUCUGGGAGUCAGUGCUUCUUAAGGAAGGAGCAUCCCUUCUAAUCUCCUGCCUCCCCAGCACAGUGGCCAGAUUUCAGCAGCCAUUUUGGGCUGUGAGGACGAAGGAUUCACCCGAGGGAUGAGUCCCUGAAAGCCGAGAGGAGCCCAGAGAUCCUGGUGAUUUUGUGGAGCUCCUGUACAGUCUGACCUUCUGGAACACUGGAGGAUGCAGCUUUGGAUCUUUCUGCCUCACUUUGCCAGAUGGAAUGACUAAUAUAUUCAAUUGAUGGCAAUGUCCGAAACUUCAAAUUUCCUUGAAGGGAGGGACUGUUUUAUGUUUCUCUGUAUUCUUUUCAGCAUCUGGCACACAGUAACUGGUUUGAUUGGAUUUGAUUUUAUCCGACCUUUUAAAUGCCCCGUUAGCCAGAGAGUCACAGAUCUAUGCAGCAACUUCUUGCUGUGUCCGAUGACACUUCCCUCUUCCGUUCUAAAAAUUACCUCUCUUAGGUUGAAGACAGGCCCUUUGUGAGGGAUGCCAAGCUCACUUUGGACCCAAGUGAGGCCGAUGACAGGUCUGGCUGACCUCACUUCUUAGAUCCAAUCUUUCCAGAUGGGAAGUUCCCUCCAGAGGCUGCUGAAUAAAGCCGAUGACGGAGCCCAUGUGCAGGCCCAAGGCCGGGGGAGGAGAGGCCUCCAGGAAGGAAGGGCUGGAGUCAGCAGUCCAGCUCAGGGCAGCCCCUGGCAGUGGGGCAGGCCUUCCGGUGUGUCCUGGAACUGCAAGCACAGGGGACCCCUGGAGCUGGGGAGCCACAGCAGGCCCAAACCACCCUCACUGAGGAGGUGUGCGCUGAUUUUAUUUAUUUAUUUAUUUGAGAGAGAGAGAGAAAAACAGCAUGAGAGGGGAGAGGAGUCAGAGGGAGAAGCAGGCCCCCUGCUGAGCCGGGAGCCCGACGCGGGACUCGAUCCCAGGACUCCGGGACCAUGACCCGAGCUGAAGGCAGUCACCUAACCAACUGAGCCACCCAGGCGCCCUAAAAUCGAUUCUUAAAAAAAAGAAGCCAUUAGCAAGGAAAGAUAAAAACCCAGGAAUGCCUAUUCACAGCCUUCUCCGGGAAUGGGACUUGUUUCCAACUGUGCGGUCAGCCAGACACGGGGUCACGGGCACCCACUGUGUGCAUGGCCUGGUGUGGAGGUCGUCAGAGGUGGGAAACAUAACGUCAAGUGUUCCUUCGAGAGCCUGCCACGUGGCUGAGAAGCAAGGUGCACAUAGAGGACAAUGCCCAGUGUGCUGGGCCAGAUCAGGAUAACUGAGUCAGUGAGGAUUCUUGAGGCUGAGUGAUUCACUCACCCAUUCAUCCCACAAACACAUAUGGGGAGCUGCUUGGCGUUCAGAUGCUGUGAGGAGUUGGAAGAUACGGUUGCUCUGAGAAGCACACAGUGCAGUCAUCGACCCAGAAGGGCAAGCAGACAAUCCAACUCUCAGGUCAGGUUGAUAGCGUGUGGCUUCAGUCCCGACCCCUUAUUCACACGGCUGGUCAUUCUGGUGUGGCCAGCCCCCAUCCUGAGUCAUCUGCUACCGUGAACUAGCAGGACUCCCUCAUCACCCUGAGAAACAAGACACUCCAUCACUCAGGAUCCCGAGGCCUGAGAGGCUUGUCCCAGGAAGCGGGACACAACCACUCAUGCACAGAACACCGAGGGAAUGUGUGGAGUCCGGGGCCUGGAGAUGGGACAUGCUGGAAGGAAGACUAACAGCCCUGGCUGGGGCGCUGGAGCCUCGGAGCCGGCUUUGCCCAGGAGGGCCGGGCCAGAGAGGAGGCAGGGCCUCGGAGCCCUGCUCUCGGGGUGACCCACCCACCCACUCUGACGUCCCUGAGCCCCCGUCCGUGGGCCACAGGCCUGGCGCAACUGGGGGACUUUCAUGCUAAGACAGUCCCGGGCAAAGCAGCACUGACUCAACCCAGAAAUGAAGAGGUGAGGCCUCUCUUCUCAAAUACCCCACCUGAGCUACUCACUAUCACCAGUCUCAGAAAUAAAGGUUUUCCAGACACAAGAUCAAAGCUAAGAGCCAGAGGAGUAUUAGGUUCCAGGCAUUUCCAAACAAGCAAGCUCCACGAUUGGUGCGUCCGCAAAGGCUGAGAUAGGGAAGGCCCUUUUCUUUCUUUUCUUUCCUGGACUGCCAGGGGAAACAGAGCUAAGCGAAGAGCGAAGAGCGGCGGCCCGGGGUAGCCAGCAAACGUGGAUUUGUUAACAAGGCACCGCCGGGGCAGGACUGGGGACGGUGGGGAGAGCCGGCUCUGCCUGUCAUAGCCCAGGAGUGGUCGGACAGGAGGCGCCUCUCUCUCUGAGUCCCGGGGCGCAGCCCUGCCAAAUAUGGGACGUGGGCCACCGGCUGACAGCCCCGGAGGGCGCGCUGGGAGGAGCUGUGGCUCCGCCCAGCCCAGCCAACCCCUGCUUUGGGGGCCACUUUCCCACCUGGGGAGGGUCCCACGGGCAAGAUGACACUUGGGAAGACCAAGAGUCAGGUGAGCAGGCUUUCUGGGUGUCUGAACCCGGACAAGGGGCCGCUGCGUGCCGGGGAAGACCUGGAUGUCACCACUCCCCGUGGGGGCCCCAGGGUGGUCUCGCAGUGCACCCACCAGACACCACUCAGGUCCUUCGACCAAGGCUCCAGGUGGCCCCUGUGUCUCUCUGCCAGGUGUCACCAGCCCUGAGCGCAUCCCCCCGGCGGAGGGGCAGGGAAGCUCCUGGCAGCCCGCAGCGGCUCUGAUGUUCCAUCAGCCUCCUCCCCGCCCAGCCACCAGCCUCGGCGCCCCGCUCAGGGUUGCCCUAGAGAAGCCAGAGCCUUCUUUUCUCUGCCGGUCCUCCAGAUGUUUGAUCAGCACUUCCUUCUCCGUGAGCCUCCCACGUUCUCCGGGGUAACACACCCAGCCCCGCAGCAGGUUGCAGGCUCGCCAAGGCCCGCGCCACCCUGGCUGGGCCCAGCUGCGGAAUUUGCAGAAACAUUUAAUAAUUCAGGAAAGCCCCCUUGUUCCUCCUGUGUCUCGCCCGCUUACACGCCGCUGCCACGCUCGACAAUUCUGACACCAGAGGCGGGGGUUUUCCCCUGGAUUGCGCGAUUCCUUGACACCAGCUGGAGGUCCCAGCACUGAACUCGAUUCUGGCACCAUCUGCCUGGAGAGCGCAUCGGGGCCCACGGGUUAGUGGCUCAGGCCCACCAGACUUCAGCCGCCAAUGGCAAUUCCAGAUUGGCACCUGUGUUUCUUUUUUGUUUUCUUUAUUAUUGCUUUUUUUUCUCUUUUUAUUAACAUAUAAUGUAUUAUUUGUCUCAGGGGGCACCUGUGUUUCUGACUUCCUGGCUGCAAAUUGCAGGUUCCCGCAAACUCUCCCUUCGAUUAAUUUGCUAAAAUGGCUCUCAGAACUCACACAAACAGCUUAUUUACUGUUUGUGAGGAUACAACAUCCAGCUGGAAGAGAUGGGUAGUGUGAAGUGCGUGGGACGGGGAUUCCCUCCGUGCACGGCGCCACCCCCCACCCCAGCACCUCCAUGUUCUCCCAGCCUGGAAGCUCUGCGAACCACGCCUUGUGGGAUUUCAUCACCUAAGCACAAUUGAUCAUUAACUCCAUCCCAGCCCCUCUUCCCUCCCUGGAGAACGGAAGGUGAGGCUGGAAAUUCCAACCUUUUAAUCACGACUUGGUCUUCUGGUGACCGGUCCCAUCCAGCAGCCUGCCCAGACUCACCUUAGAACAAAGACAUUGCUAUCACCCAGGAAAUCCCAAGGGAUUUAGGAGCUCUGUGUCAGACUGCCGUCAAAGACCAACUAUUUGAACAAAGGAUGCUCCUAGUGCUCUUAUCACUUAAGACAUUACGAAGGUUUUAGAAACUCUGUGCCCAGAACCAGGGGCAGAGACCAAUAUAUGUAUUUUCUAGCAUCUACCAUUAAUGCAGAGUAAAAAUGUGGGGCCCUUGUUCAGAAAUCAGGACACAUUGCAAAAGAACAGCUGCAGAGGGUUGAAGGAACUCAGGGCCCUUUGUGACGGCACAGACCGCACACCCAGGAAGACAGCCCCAUUGUGGUCACUCCCUCCUGGGUACCCUCUGGCCUAUCGGUGUCCCCCUCAAAGGGCAGGGGUCCGGCUCGCUGGGCCUGGUCAGAGCGGGCAUCAAAGCUAGUCACGUCUCACUCCCUUGCCCGGCACUGCAGCCUAUGGUCAGAGAGGAGACGCUGUCCUCUGAACCCCCGCAGGGCUGGCCAGGAAUGCAGAUUCCAGCCCCCCGCCCCCAGCCCCCAGACCUCCUGGAUCAGCGUCUCCAGGUGUGAGCUGGGGCCUCUGCCUUCUAAACCUGGUGCUCAGCUCGCGCUGCUGCAGGAGGAAAGGCUGAGGAUCACUGUUGGCCCCGGGGCUGGUUCUGCAGCCCAGCCUGUUCCUGGAGCUGAUUGUGAACUAAACGUGGCCUUCUUCUCCUGAGGGCUGCUGGUCAGCCCCAUCGCCCCAGUCUUGGCGAGAGCAAGGGCCUUCCGACCUUCUCCUUGCAAGAGCAGGCCUGCCCCGACAUCAGACAGUGGCAGGCCUGAGUGCUGCCCGGUUGCCCGAGUGGAAGGCUGAGGGGCCUGGGGCCCAUUUGGAGCUCCUGCCACAGGCCCCCGAGGCCGGACGAGCGAGCAGGGCCACUGGGGUCCCGGGCAGCUGGGAAGGAGGCGUGGAGGUCAGAACAUACUCUGGAGGGAGGGGACAAAAUGCGGGACUGCUGUUUGCAGCCAGAGCUGCGAAGCUCGGCGGGGCUGCCGGGGGACCGUGACCGGUGGCCGACUCUGUGGCCUUCCUGCCAGGCCCUUCUCUUUCCUGGGCCUCCCAUCCUGGCUUUCCUUCCUCAUCCCCAGGCCAGCUUUCCUUUGGGCUUCAGCCGCUCAGCGCAUGAAAUGUGUCUCCUGGGGCCUCCCAGUGCCCCCAGGGCCUCCCAACCGGUCAGAGCCCAGGGCUCAGAGUUGAACUGAGGUCUGUCUGGGGCCAAAACCGGAGUCCGAGGUGAGAGAGGAGCCUCGUGUGGCCCCAGACACUGGCCCAUGUCUGCCUCACUGGGAACAAUUGAGAAAGGAAGCUGGUGGACUCCCCACCGACCUCCCCACCCGCCCCGCCCCCGCCCCCACCAUGCCUACCUUUGGAGGAUGCUUUCACAGCACCAUGUCAUCGCACCCUGCGGUCUAGGGGGCAUGGUUUCUGUUUUUGAGCAGCAGAAACCGAGUCUUCACAUAGAAGGUGGGAAAGGGUUCAUGAGGCAGGAGGGGGCCAUGCCCAUGAUUCUGAGAGGAACGUUACAACGUACCCUGUGAAUGGCUGCAAAGCAAACCUUUAGGGACAGAGGUUUUUCCCAGGAGGGAAAUGGCCCCGGGGACCAAGCCAGGAGGUCUGGGCCCUGAGGGGCUCUGCGGAGGGGAUAUGCAUGUUUUGGGGCUAUCCUCAGGACCAGGCGUCUACACCCAGCACUUCAACCCCCCUCCAGUGACUGGGCCAAGUCGGGGACUUCUCCUUCCCGGAGCAGAGGAGGUCGGGGUGGCAAGGGGGGAUGCAGGGAGUGACCCCAGCGGAGGGACGCAGCUCCGGACGCUGUGCAAACCACCAACGAGGCCACGGGUUUUCUCCGUGACUGUGGCAGUGGCCUGGGCGCCUGCAGGCACGGCGUGGGAGCUGUCACUCUGCGGACCCCAGGAAGAGAGUCCAGUGGUGACAAACUGCUCGAACCCCGCCCGCUAGGCGAGGGCCUGGGCAGGCAGCAAGGGCCCAGUGACCCUCCCGGGGCUUGACAUUCAUUCACUGUGUGUGAAGGAGGCCCCAGCAUCAGUCUGAGCGCACAGACCAGAGCAGGGCGGACAGGAAACCUGCAUCCAGAACAUUCCUGCUGAAACUCGGCGACAGAGCAGGGCAAGGAGAGGUGCUCCAGAGACGGAAACCUCCCAGGGCUGCCGCUGGGGCAAAUGCACGCUCAGCAGGCUUAAUCCAGGAUGCUUUGUUCUUUGUUCUUUUUUUUUUUUCCUUUUGGUUGUUGUUUCUUGUGUAAAUAUUACAGUUCUUUUGUCUUCAUCAAAGCCCUACGCACUUAUGUGUCUUGUCUUGCUCGGCAGUUUCUGAGCUGGUUAGACAGAGCCCCGUGUCCCCAGAUGAACCCGGGAUUUCAAAAUGAUCUCCAGCCCUGAUUGAUCCCCAGUCCUUCCAGAGACGUCCUCCACAAGCAUGAUCACCCGGCGAUUGAAAAGCAACACAGUGCCUGGUCCCACCCCAGAGACCCGGAUUUAGUGGGAUGAGAAUCUGCUCCCCCAGCGGCGCCUCGGGGUCGUGAGUCUGUCACCUUGGGAAGGGCACCAAGCCCGCGUGGGCUAUAGACACAAGUCCAGCAGGAAGCCAGAUGGAUCCGCCCUCCCGUGGGUUCUGCGACUGUGCAGAGGAUCUGCCAGGAGGCGGUGGGAGUGUUCUUUCCAAGGGCUUCUGCAGUGAGCAAGGGCUGGGCCAGGUGGGACACAGCAGGGACCAGGGAAGAUGGGCAGAUGCCAGGAGGGCCCAUAAACAGUUUCUCUCAUGGGAGGUUUCACCUGGGUGUGGAAAGAAAAGUUACAGUGCAGGAGUGAUCGGAGAUCCUGGGGCCAUACUGCCUGGGUGAGAAUCCAACCUCCAUCCUGGAGAAGGUGCUGGAGCCUCAGUUUCUCCAUCAGUACAAAGGGCCUAGAGCCGCUCUGAGGACUAAACGAGACCAUCCAGACCCGCUGCUUGCUUUCAACAUUGUGUUAUCACAACCAUCACCACCAGCACAGAGGGCUGAUGACAGGCACUGGGUGGGUGCAGCUCGUUUCUUGUGGACAACAAUCCUGCUGGAGGUCCUAUCUUCCCUCCUUUUCUCAGGGAGACAACUGGGCCUCAGGCUGAGUCCGCUCACCUGAGGUGACAGAGCCCGUGAGUGGGGACCGAGCCAGAAUUUGAACUCACGUCUGCCUAACCCCAGAGACUGCUGUCCUCAGGUGCCUGGCCUUGUCCAAGCGAGCACUGUUUCUGAGCUGUUUGUAAAUGGGAAGGAGAUUGGGCCCCGGGCAGCUGGGGGGCAGGGCUGGUGGCCGCUUGUCUGACAGAAGCCCCUCAGUCCCCCAGAGAGGAGCACAGGGGACAUGUGGGGGGCAGGGGGCGUGGGGAGGCCCCGAGAAGCAGCCACAGGGGAUGAGGCUCUGGGGUCUGCUGAGCCCCUAUUAUGUGCCCCAACACAUUUGCUGAAUCCUGAAUCCUCACGCAUGGCGGGGCUAUCCUGGAGAUAUCUGUGAUCUGUGACAGACAAGAUAACGACCAGACUCUGCGUCCAAUCGCUGGCAAAGACACAGAGGUUUACAAAGGAUUGCGACGGACAGCAGAUGGGCCUCUUAAGGGAAAGUGCCAGGACCUGGGCUCUGGGACGGCUGGGUGCUUUCUGCCGCGGAGAGGCCCCGGGAGCACCCAGCACUCACACCUGCCCCCUGGGCCUCUGCAGGGCUAAGGCCUCCACUGCAAGGCCUCUCUCUCUCUCUGCAUCAGUGUGGCUCCCCAUGGCUGCUUCACAUUCUUCUCUGGGAUCCCCGGCUGGAAUGGGCUCUGCCCUCCAGUCUGCACAGCUGUCCUGCCUGCAUCCGGGCACCGGCCCCACCUUCCUGCCCCCCUGACAACACUGGAAAGGCAGCUCGAGGAACAGCUGGGCCUGGGACUCCGGCACUGGGUGGGUGCUCCGUCCUGUGCCUCCAUUAUUCACGGGGCUGACAAGCAGGCCCACAGAGAGGUUUCUUUCUUUUUUUUUUUUUAAGAUUUUAUUUAUUCAUUUGAGAGACAGACAGACAGAUAGUGACAGAGACAGCGAGCGAGCGCACAAGCUGGGAGGAGAGGGAGAAGCAGGAUCCCCGCCGAGCAGGGAGCCUGAUGCGGGGCUCGAUCCCAGGACGCUGGGACCAUGAGCUGAGCCGAAGGCGGACGCUUAGCCGACUGCGCCCCCCAGGCGCCCUGGGGGGAACCACUGUGAAGGGUGUGAGCUGGGUGGACUGCUGCUAAUUAUGUGGAGAGUUUGAAGAAAGAAAUGACAGGCUCAAGACCUGCUAACAGAAUCACACAGCUUGUCUUUGCAGCUGAGGCUAAUGUGACUCAAAACAGAGCAGAGGGUCACCGGCUGGCUCUGUCGAUUAAGCGUCCGACUCUUGAUUUCAGCGCAGGUCAUGAUCUCGGGGUCCAGGGAUCGAGCCCCACUUGGGGCCCUGCGCUCGGUGGGGAGCCUGCUUCUCUCCCUCUCCCUCUGCCCCUCCCCCUGCUCACACGGGCCCUAUGAAUAGAUCUUAAAAAAGAGAAAAGAAAAGAGAAUUCACUUGCCAUUUCAUUAUUAAAAAAACCAAACUGAGCAGAGUCUGACUUUAACACCGAGUGAAUUCGUAGCCCUUCUGGGCCUCUUAAGGGAAAGUGCCAGGACCUUGGAAUUGUGGGAGCACUUUGGGAAUGUUUGCUGUGCUGGGAUUCCCAAGGCCCGGGAGCCCACAAAGCAGUCCGUCCCUCCCAGCUGAGAAAGCUCGACCUUUCUGCUUCCUCCUCACCCAUCGGCCCUUGCCUCCUGUGCACCCGUCACCACGCAAGAUGAGGGAGAUCAGCACAAUCCUCAGGAAGGAGGAAGGCUACGCACCUUCCCCUACCAAAACCCCCAAUAUUUGUCAGUUUUUUAAAUCCCAAACUCAGGGAAUAUAUGUGAGAAUGGAUUUGAGAACAUUAGACUGGGAAGAAAGAAAUCGAAUAUUAGACUGGACAGCUGCACUUAGCAAAAAUCUGGAGUCCCCUGGUAAGCGGGGAGUGGUGCUGUUGGCUCAGUCACGGACUGGAACCUGGACUCUGCGGGCCUGAGAUAAAGAAAGGGAAGCUUGCCGAGGUUCCUUGCACUAACGUGGAGCGAAGUAUCCACACACGUCCAGAGAAUAAACGGUGGGCAGAUUUGUGCAGCCCCUUCCCCAUCACCACGGUCCCCCUGCGGACAUAGUCCCUUUACCUGAGACUAGUUAUCAAGGUUAUCACCAGCAUCUUUUUUCUUUUCUUUUCUUUUUAAAGAUUUCACCUAGUUAUUAGAGAGAGAGAGCAGAACGAGAAA